UACGUAGGGUGCGAGCGUUGUCCGGAAUCACUGGGCGUAAAGGGCGCGUAGGCGGCUUUGCAAGUGACGGGUGAAAUCCCUCGGCUUAACCGAGGAACUGCCUGUCAAACUGCAUGGCUUGAGACCGGGAGAGGUGAGUGGAAUUCCCAGUGUAGCGGUGAAAUGCGUAGAUAUUGGGAGGAACACCAGUGGCGAAGGCGGCUCACUGGACCGGUACUGACGCUGAUGCGCGAAAGCGUGGGGAGCAAACAGG
rnacentral:rRNA from 1 species